rnacentral:rRNA from 1 species
UACAGAGACUGCAAGCGUUAUUCGGAUUCACUGGGCGUAAAGGGUGCGCAGGCGGUUAGGUGUGUCAGAUGUGAAAUCCCGAGGCUUAACCUCGGAACUGCGUCUGAAACUACUCGACUAGAGUAUUGGAGAGGGUAACGGAAUUCACGGUGUAGCAGUGAAAUGCGUAGAUAUCGUGAGGAACACCAGAGGCGAAGGCGGUUACCUGGACAAUUACUGACGCUCAGGCACGAAAGCAUGGGGAGCAAAAGGG